rnacentral:rRNA from 1 species
GACGAACGCUGGCGGCGUGCCUAACACAUGCAAGUCGAACGGAAGUAAGUGCUUCGGUAUUUACUUUAGUGGCGAACGGGUGAGUAACGCGUGAGGAACCUGCCUUUCAGUGGGGGACAACAGUUGGAAACGACUGCUAAUACCGCAUAAUGCAUCGGGGUCGCAUGGCUCUGAUGCCAAAGAUUUAUCGCUCUUAGAUGGACUCGCGUCUGAUUAGCUAGUUGGUGAGGUAACGGCCCACCAAGGCGACGAUCAGUAGCCGGACUGAGAGGUUGGCCGGCCACAUUGGGACUGAGACACGGCCCAG